rnacentral:tRNA from 1 species
UAGCUCUAUGGUACAGCAUUUGCCUAAUAAGCAUAAGGUCCUGGGUUUGAUUCCUAG